AUUGAACGCUGGCGGCAGGCCUAACACAUGCAAGUCGAACGGUAACAGGAAGCAGCUUGCUGCUUUGCUGCCGAGUGGCGGACGGGUGAGUAAUGUCUGGGAAACUGCCUGAUGGAGGGGGAUAACUACUGGAAACGGUAGCUAAUACCGCAUAACGUCGCAAGACCAAAGAGGGGGACCUUAGGGCCUCUUGCCAUCGGAUGUGUCCAGAUGGGAUUAGCUAGUAGGUGGGGUAACGGCUCACCUAGGCGACGAUCCCUAGCUGGUCUGAGAGGAUGACCAGCCACACUGGAACUGAGACACGGUCCAGAAUCCUACGGGAGGCAGCAGUGGGGAAUAUUGCACAAAGGGCGCAAGCCUGAUGCAGCCAUGCCGCGUGUAUGAAGAAGGCCUUCGGGUUGUAAAGUACUUUCAGCGGGGAGGAAGGGAGUAAAGUUAAUACCUUUGCUCAUUGACGUUACACGCAGAAGAAGCACCGGCUAACUCCGUG
rnacentral:rRNA from 1 species